GACGAACGCUGGCGGCGUGCUUAACACAUGCAAGUCGAACGGAAAGGCCCUGCUUUUGUGCGGUGCUCGAGUGGCGAACGGGUGAGUAACACGUGAGUAACCUGCCCUUGACUUUGGGAUAACUUCAGGAAACUGGGGCUAAUACCGGAUAGGAGCUCCUGCCGCAUGGUGGGGGUUGGAAAGUUUCGGCGGUUGGGGAUGGACUCGCGGCUUAUCAGCUUGUUGGUGGGGUAGUGGCCUACCAAGGCUUUGACGGGUAGCCGGCCUGAGAGGGUGACCGGCCACAUUGGGACUGAGAUACGGCCCAGACUCCUACGGGAGGCAGCAGUGGGGAAUAUUGCACAAUGGGCGGAAGCCUGAUGCAGCAACGCCGCGUGCGGGAUGACGGCCUUCGGGUUGUAAACCGCUUUCGCCUGUGACGAAGCGUGAGUGACGGUAAUGGGUAAAGAAGCACCGGCUAACUACGUG
rnacentral:rRNA from 1 species